CCGAGGCUUUAGUUUAGCCUAGCUUCAGCUACUUCCUCAGGACCACACCUGGCAUCAUCCCAAAGGCUUGUUCACACAGAAUGAGCCCCAAGAAGCAAGCAAAAGCAAUGAUCAACUGCAAAGAAAAGAAAACCCUGCUCCAUUCUUCUUCACCAAGCAAGGAGGAGUUCAGUUCCAAGUCCUGGUUCUGGCUAUAAAGGAAACACAGCUGGUGGUGUCUUGCUCCACAGGAGAACCACCAAGAUCACUCAGCUCAAGGAGGGAAAGAAGUAGCCACAAGAGGAGGAGAGCUGCUCUCUCUUGAGGGUCCCCAUCUCAAAAAGUGUCUGGAAUGAUGGGGUGGUAUCACAGAGCCACUAUCCCAACAGCAGUAUCACUGCUACUUACCUGGAUAGGGCAGGAUAGCAGCCCAUACAGGUGUGCCCAUACAGCCUCAAGCUUAUCCCAUCUCUUCCUCACACUGUCCAGGGAAGGCGGCACUCACACAGCUAGCAGUCAGUUCACCGGGGGCACCUUUAUAUUGGAACUCACACA